rnacentral:rRNA from 1 species
UCGAGAAUCUUCCGCAAUGGGCGAAAGCCUGACGGAGCGACGCCGCGUGACUGAUGAAGCACUUCGGUGCGUAAAAGUCUUUUAUGAGGGAAGAAGUUUAUUGACAUUACCUCAUGAAUAAGGGGCACCUAAUCACGUGCCAGCAGGUGCGGUAAUACGUGAGCCUCAAGCGUUACCCGGAAUUACUGGGCGUAAAGGGUGUGUAGGCGGUUGUGUUAGUCUUUUGUGAAAGCCUGCGGCUCAACCGCGGAUAUGCAAGAGAAACGGUACAACUAGAGGGUGCGAGAGGUCAAAGGAACUCAUGGUGUAGGGGUGAAAUCCGUUGAUAUCAUGGGGAACACCAAAAGCGAAGGCAUUUGACUGGCGCACUCCUGACGCUGAGACACGAAAGCGUGGGUAGCGAACGGGAUUAGAUACCCCUGUAGUCC